GAGUUCCCGAACGAUCACCGAACUUAAGCAACGUCGAUCCUGGCCAGUACCUAGAUGGGUGAUCACUUGGGAAUACCAGGUGCUGUAAG